rnacentral:lncRNA from 1 species
UUGCUUACAGGUCUAUCAUUUUAUUGGCAAUUUUUAAAUAGUGUGUGUGUGUGUGCGUGUACUGGCUCCUGUACACAUUUUACAAAAUCCACUCCAACCAUCAAAGCUGGAACUUUUCCUUUUGCUUUUUAAUGGCAUGAGACAUUGUCAUAUCCUCUCCAAGGCAAAACAUUUGCCAAGUGACUCCCUAAGGGAAAACAUGAAAAACAAAUCACUGAAUUCACUAAACUCUUUUUCAAGACUGAUGUCAUUAUUUGAUGUAUUUCAAGAUCGGAAGCCAAUCCAAUUCUUUGCCAUCACUGAGACCAAGGCCACAAGGAACCUUCUGUGCAGAGUGGCCGUGUCCUCUGGUGCAGCUGGAGACUGGACUGUGAGGAUUCCCCAGCCUUCUCCACAGUUUCCAGCUCAGUUCCCAUACAGCACAGAGCCCAGGAUGGGGAAGAGGAGGUGAAGAGAGAACCAGAAGCAGCACCAGCAGUCCCUGCCGAGACAGUCAUGGCAAACCCUCCUAGCUGUACAGGUGCCUGUGACUUCUAUCCUGAUGCGGUCUGCAGUGAGCAGUGUGACCCCACCCCAAGCCCUCAGAACCCCGGUUUUCAGGCCCCUCCGGGAAAAGUAUUCUGAUUCAAAGGAGACACCGCUCACCCUUAGACAAAUCCCAGCAUUUUGCACUGCAGUGAAUUACAGGACUCCAGGAGCAUCCACUUUGCAGCAGGAACCUUGUCUUCUGCCAGGCUGUCACAAAGUAUGUGUGCAAGACACAGGUCCGGUUUGGACACCCGGAAGGGCCCCGAGGCUGGGGAGGGAAAUCUGCUGCUCCCGGCCUUCAGACACUCUGCCUAAAACAGACUUUGCUUUGAAGAUAAACUUCCAGGUUGUUCUGUGUCAGGCAGUCACGGACCUCCAGGCUCCUGUGUCCAGGGCUGGGCUGCCGUGA